UACGAAGGGGGCUAGCGUUGUUCGGAAUUACUGGGCGUAAAGGGCGCGUAGGCGGUACUUCAAGUCAGGCGUGAAAGCCCCGGGCUUAACCUGGGAAUGGCAUUGGAAACUGGCGAGCUGGAGUGUGGCAGAGGGGGGUGGAAUUCCACGUGUAGCAGUGAAAUGCGUAGAUAUGUGGAGGAACACCGAUGGCGAAGGCAGCCCCCUGGGUUAACACUGACGCUCAUGCACGAAAGCGUGGGGAGCAAACAGG
rnacentral:rRNA from 1 species